UACGGAGGGUGCAAGCGUUGUUCGGAAUUAUUGGGCGUAAAGGGCGCGUAGGCGGUUGUGAUAGUCAGAUGUGAAAUCCUCCGGCUUAACUGGAGAACUGCAUCUGAAACUUCAUAGCUAGAGUACAGGAGAGGGAAACGGAAUUCCCGGUGUAGAGGUGGAAUUCGUAGAUAUCGGGAGGAACACCAGUGGCGAAGGCGGUUUCCUGGCCUGAUACUGACGCUGAGGCGCGAAAGCGUGGAGAGCAAACAGGAUUAGAUACCCGGGUAGUCCCU
rnacentral:rRNA from 1 species